UGGAGAAUUUCAUGGCCCUGGCUCUGAGUCAGAUGAGGUAUGUAAGAGAUGAACUGGAUUUAAUCUGUCAGCAGAAGUGAGAGAAGCAGACCUGGCAAGCUGGAGAAUUCUGCAGGAAUGGGGGAAGGGCA
rnacentral:lncRNA from 1 species